GCUCAGAGCGAACGUUAGCGGCGGGCUUAACACAUGCAAGUCGAACGAGAAUGAGGGGGCAACUCCUCUAGUAAAGUGGCGGACGGGUGCGUAACACGUGGACAAUUUACCUUCCGGCGGGGGACAACAGUUCGAAAGGACUGCUAAUACCGCGUACGUCGGCGAGGGCUCCGGCUCUUGUCGAGAAAGAUGGCCUCUCCUUGGAAGCUGUCACCGGAAGAUGAGUCCGCGGCCCAUCAGGUAGUUGGUGAGGUAAUGGCUCACCAAGCCUAAGACGGGUAGCUGGUCUGAGAGGAUGAUCAGCCACACUGGGACUGCGACACGGCCCAGACUCCUACGGGAGGCAGCAGUGGGGAAUAUUGGGCAAUGGGCGAAAGCCUGACCCAGCCACGCCGCGUGAGUGAUGAAGGCCUUCGGGUCGUAAAGCUCUGUGGAGAGGGACGAACAAGCGGGCACUAAAUAAGUGCAAGCCCUGACGGUACCUCUUUAGCAAGCACCGGCUAACCAUGUGCCAGCAGCCGCGGUAAUACAUGGGGUGCAAACGUUGCUCGGAAUUAUUGGGCGUAAAGCGCGCGUAGGCGGUCGCUUAAGUCGGAUGUGAAAUCCCUCGGCUUAACUGAGGAAGUGCAUCCGAGACUGAAUGGCUAGAGUACGAAAGAGGGUCGCGGAAUUCCCGGUGUAGAGGUGAAAUUCGUAGAUAUCGGGAGGAACACCGGCGGCGAAGGCGGCGACCUGGUUCGAGACUGACGCUGAGGCGCGAAAGCGUGGGGAGCAAACAGGAUUAGAUACCCUGGUAGUCCACGCCGUAAACGAUGGAUGCUAGAUGUUUCUGGUAUUGACCCCGGAGGCGUCGUAGCUAACGCGUUAAGCAUCCCGCCUGGGGAGUACGG
rnacentral:rRNA from 1 species